AUCGAGCUGACGAGUCCCAAAUAGGAGGAAACGUGCGUCCUGGAU
rnacentral:hammerhead_ribozyme from 1 species